GUCACAGAAUGAGUUUCCCCUACACUCAUGAACUUGCAUGUGUCAUUAAACCUACAAACAUCAGGCUUUGUAAUGGAUUGGCAAGGACAAUAUUCAAGGAGAGAUCAUUCUAAAAUCACAGCUAUCAAGCACACAGAUCAAUCAUUGAGUCAUGGACUCCGAGUCUUCAGAUUCCAGUCCCAGGCGAAACUAAACAUCAUAUUGUGUCAUAAAUAGAGUUGAGCGGAC